AUUAAGAGGCUUGUCCUUUGAACGAAAGUGUGAUCACUUGGGUUUGAAACGCACUCGCGGGCUCGCGUGAGGAACGUGCAGCCUGGCACGGGUUGCCUCUAGAUUCCUGCUUCCCUCGCUCUCACCCGCAUGCCUGCUGGUGGUCUUUCACCCAGCUCCACCAUGCCAGCGUGGUUUUCUCCAGUGUGUGAAGGAUAGAAACGGGCUGAUCUAUAUAAUCUUCAGCUUAUUUUCCUAAAGAGGAUGGACCGUUGAUCCAUAUUUAGCUUAUGAGAGUGUUGAGACCGAGGCAGCGGUUGGGAACUGAGGAACUCCUGCUCUGAUCCCAUGAGUGGUGUGUGGGUGGUGACUUGAGCAUGGCAGACAUGCUGUCAGAUGCACGCGCUCCAGGUACACGCCACCGUUUCGCUGUUAGAACACGCAGGACAAGAUUUCUUCUUGGAGUUGUUGAGUGAUCCAUUUGAAAAUGUUCUCAAAGUAUUGCUGGUGUGGUGGCCAAAGAUGUGGUAUUUUUUAUUGUGUUGACUUUGGGGUGAUAAAGAAAUGAAAUUGAAAUGCAGUUAGUUUUGAG
rnacentral:lncRNA from 1 species